AUUGCAGGAAUUGUGCUUUUCUUUUUAAAAAAGAUUUUAAAUCUUUUUAGAAAUAAAAUUACUGGGCAAAUUUUUAUUUAAUAAAAAUUUUGAAGACCCUUUAACUAUAUUUAAGUUAAUUAUAAAACGAAUCACACUUUUACCACUAAACUAUACCCGCUAGUAAAAUAUUAUACUAUAAUUUUUGUUUUUUGUUAAAAUUUUUUUUUUAUUUUUGAUAUUUUUUCAUUUAAACUCCAUCUCCGGAAAUUUAAUACUUAAAAAAGUUAUUUUCUUAUUUCCGGAGAUGGUUUUUAAAAUUAUAAAUUGCCUUUACGUGCUGCUAAUAAAGCAAUUACUAAAGGACCUGAACCAACUAUUAAAGCCAAAGCAGUAAGCUGUGCAAUAACUUCUAAAUUCAUUUUGAAUUCACCUCUAUGUUUUCAAAUUAAUUUUAUUAAUUAUAAAAAAAAAUUUUAAUUUUGUUAAAAAAAUAUCUAUAGCAAUAUAGAAUUAAGAUCAGUACAAUAAUAAAGAGUUUAUUCAUUUAAAAACUUAUUUAAUUAAUAAAAUUUUAUUAAUUAUUAAUUUUUAAUUAAUAUCAAAUUUAAUAUAAAAAUAAAAAUUUUGAAUAAAUUUGUUAUUUAUAUUAUAAAUUAUUAGGAGAAAAAAAAAUGACAUCAAUUUCAGACAGUCAAAUUAUUGUAGCUCUCGUCAGUGCUUUUAUAACAGGUAUUUUGGCUUUAAGAUUAGGUAAAAAUUUAUAUCAAUAAUUUAAUUUAUUUUUUAUUUGUUUUACAAAAGGAUAACCUGGCCAGUACAAAUAUCUGGCUAGGCCUAAAUAAAAAAUCUAAUUAAAUUAAAAUUUUUUGAUUAAAAUCAAAAAAUUUUAUUGUAUUUUACUGAAAUAAAUUCUUCGAUUUUAUAAUUUAUAUAUUUGUAUAUAUAAACAAAAAAUACAUAAUCUAAUAUUAUUAGUAUAUAGACUUCUACUUAUACAACAUGUUAUGAUUUUUUGUCUGGAGAGAUGGCCGAGUGGUCUAAAGCGAUGGAUUGCUAAUCCGUUGUGCAUUUUUUGUACCGAGGGUUCGAAUCCCUCUCUCUCCU
rnacentral:tRNA from 1 species